rnacentral:tRNA from 1 species
AAGACACUAGUAAAACCGACCAUUACAUUGCCUUGUCAAGGCAGUAUCGCGGGUUAGACCCCCGCGUGUCUUA